GGCGGGGCCAGACGUUGCAUAAAAGGAGCCAGGGUGUUUUUCCGUGAGAAGCAGACGGACACGUUGCUGCUGUGCUGUGGUUGCAGGCGGCCAUCAUGAGUCACGUAGACGUGAAGAACUUGAAGCCGAGCAGCUUUGAGGACGAGUACUACGACGAGUACGACUACUACAGCCUGAGUGACAAGUACACAGAGGGGUCGGCACGUAAAGGUCGCAGCAAGAAGGAGGCGAGCGAGAACACCAACAGGCCCAACCCCGCCGGACACGAGCGGAAGAUUACGGAGAAGCUGCAGAACAGCGAGAAGAAAGCCAAGGAGUGAAGGUGCAGGUGAGUGCUUGCUCUGGGGCCGGGUGAGUCUUAAGGUGAGUCUUAAGGUGAGCCUUAAGGUGAGUCUUAAGGUGAGCCUUAAGGUGAACCAAAAGGUGAGCCUUAAGGUGAGCCUGAAGGUAACCAGGUAAGCCUGAAGGUGACCUUGUCCUCCAGCAGGAACCCUCUGAUGGCUAAACAGGAAACGACCACGGCCUCCACGGCGACCCGCCCUCACAUUCCGCCUCGCCACGGCAGGAAGACACCACGCGUGCCAACAUCCGGCACUGGUGGCGUGUGUGCACGCGCUCCCCCCACCUUUGGUGUGCACGUGCGUGGUGCGGUGACGUGCUGGCAGCUUGUAUUUGUGUGAUGAUGACGCUCAAAUAAAGUUUCAUUCAAAGUUG